CCUACGGGAGGCAGCAGUGGGGAAUAUUGCACAAUGGGGGAAACCCUGAUGCAGCAACGCCGCGUGAGUGAAGAAGGUUUUCGGAUUGUAACGCUCUGUUAGCAGGGGAGAGGAAGGACGGUACCUGCAGAGGAAGCCACGGCUAACUACGUGCCAGCAGCCGCGAUAAUACUGAGGUGGCAAGCGUUGUUCUGAAUAACUGGGCGUAAAGGAUGAGUAGGCGGUUAAACAAGUUAUAUGGUAAAUAUAUAGGCUUAAACUGUAGAAAGCAGAUAAAACUUUUGAACUAGAGUGCAGGAGAGGGAAGUGGAAUUCCGAGUGUAGCGGUGAAAUGCGGAGAGAUUAGGAAGAACACCAGUGGCGAAGGCGACUUACUGGACUGUAACUGACGCUGAGGCAUGAGAGCAUGGGGAGCAAACAGGAUUAGAUACCCCAGUAGUC
rnacentral:rRNA from 1 species